AUUCUGCACGUGAUCUUCAUUCAUCUUCUCCAAAGCUUCAAUCUAGAGAGCCAAAAAUAAAACCAUGCUGAAAUCAUAAAACCAUGCCAGUAGCAGAAGCCUUCUAAACAGCAUUAAAAGUAGCUUUUGAAGCCAGAGCAGAGAAGGACACUAUCAGCAUGGAAAAUGUGCAAGAGUAAUCUUCUAAGAUAGCUUGUAUCUUAGAAAACAUACAGCAUAACAGAAGAUUGUCAGACAAAGAGGUCCUACCUGUGAAACAUUCCUACAGUCUCUGAACAAGAACUCAAGUCCAUGAGGAUGGGUUGGCUCCACAGACUGACUGACAUCAAUGAGCCAGACCUGUAGUCACAGAGAAACAGCAAUUUGCUUUGUAUUAGUAUUUCACAGUAGAUACAACUUUUCUCCCCCAAAUUAAGAACAAACUCACCUUCCCAUCAUGCCAAAGCAUGUUGUAUUCACUCAGAUCUGCAUGGACCAGGUUGCACUCCCUAUACAGCUGCUGCAUCAUCUGCAAGGAACCAAAUUAAUGAAGGAAGUAUGCUAUACUCCAAAUGAAUAUUGCUAGCAUGACUUAAAAAAAAAAAAAAGCCAAAACAA